GUGCCAGCCGCCGCGGUAAUACCGGCAGCCCAAGUGAUGGCCGAUCUUAUUGGGCCUAAAGCGUCCGUAGCUGGCCGCGCAAGCCCAUCGGAAAAUCCACCCGCCCAACGGGCGGCCGUCCGGCGGAACCUGUGUGGCUUGGGACCGGGAGGCCUGAGGGGUACGAUCGGGGUAGGAGUGAAAUCCUGUAAUCCCGCUCGGACCGCCGAUGGGGAAACCACCUCAGGAGAACGGAUCCGACAGUGAGGGACGAAAGCCAGGGUCUCGAACCGGAUUAGAAACCCCGGUAGUCC
rnacentral:rRNA from 1 species